rnacentral:rRNA from 1 species
AUGCAAGUCGAGCGAUGAAGCUUCCUUCGGGAAGUGGAUUAGCGGCGGACGGGUGAGUAACACGUGGGUAACCUGCCUCAAAGUGGGGGAUAGCCUUCCGAAAGGAAGAUUAAUACCGCAUAACAUAAGAGAAUCGCAUGAUUUUCUUAUCAAAGAUUUAUUGCUUUGAGAUGGACCCGCGGCGCAUUAGCUAGUUGGUAAGGUAACGGCUUACCAAGGCAACGAUGCGUAGCCGACCUGAGAGGGUGAUCGGCCACAUUGGAACUGAGACACGGUCCAG